ensembl:lncRNA
AGUGUAGCAUGUGAGGGUAAUUAUCUGUGUUCAUUUUCUAAAUGCCCUUCACUGCUGCAGAUUUUACUCUUGGUUACUGGGGGCAAGAGGAGUAGCUGAGCGAGCAAUUGACAUUGGACAUUGUCCCUCAAACUGUGGCUCAGUUUCCCAGAGACAAGUCCUCAAACUUCUGCUCUCAGGAGAAACCACAGAAUUGACCUUGUGAUCAGUGUGGCAGUGUGGAUUAGUAGCUUCUCUGUGUGGAUUCAGGUGAUUUUGAGGCAGAGGAGGUUGGAACCAAAGGUGGUAGCCGUGGUGAGGGCUGCAUGCGCAGUGUGUGAGGACUGGUCAGGGACUGGAAGCCUUGGGAUCAAUAACAGCUCAAGAGAACCUGGCUCUUAAAGACAGUUGAGGAAGGGCCUGGGUUCGGUUCCGGCCAGACGACCAGGGUCCUUUCUGUGUGGAGUUUGCCUGAUCUCCCUGUGUCUGCAUGGGUUUCCUCCGGUUUCCUCCCACAGUCCAAAGACGUGCGGUCAGGCCAAUGGGGCACGCUAAACUGCCCCUAGGUGUGAAGGUGUGUGUGACUGUAUGUGUCUGUGUCUGCCCUGUGAUGCACCAGUGACCGGGGUUUUUUGCCUUCCACCUAAUGACCACUGGGAUAGGCUCCAGCAACCCCUGCGUGUGCGUGCUAUGCUGUAUUUCUUUAUAUGAUUGGUUGAUAUGCAUUUAAGGGUCAAACAGCUGUCAGUAA